UUGAUUCAAUUUUCUGAUUCAGACGUCGGACGGAUUCAGGCGUGGAUGCGGCGCCGGAGCGCCGAAGCACGGCUCGCUUCCACGGUUUUUGGGGUUUGAAGGCCCAGAGGGCCGUUCGUUAAUGAUCCCUCCGCAGGUUCACCUACGGAGA
rnacentral:misc_RNA from 1 species